rnacentral:rRNA from 1 species
GCGAUCAUACCAGCACUAAUGCACCGGAUCCCAUCAGAACUCCGCAGUUAAGCGUGCUUUGGCGAGAGUAGUACUAGGAUGGGUGACCUCCUGUGAAGUCCUCGUGUUGCACCA